GGCUCCCAGUUGCCUUCAGGCACUCACUUACCUCUCUAAACUUUUCCACCUCUGCAGGGGGCACGGUCACACCUACUUUUUUAGGACUGAUGUUGAGGAUUGGAGGAGGUGACAGAGGAGCACCUACCCAGCAGGUGCACCACCUUCUGUGCUCCUUUGUCUAAAUCUCCUGUUGCAGUAAAAUGCCUUUGUGAUGUCUUCAUGGUCUCAUGAUUCCUCCACAUCAGGCUCUGGUCCUUUGUGCGGGCUGAAUCCCUGCAGCAGGCGGGUUCAUUCACGGUGUGGAAGUUCUCGUAGCCUCAUCACCCUUCCUGGUCCAUCUCCUUUCUGAGCUUCCCCGUUUGGGUUUCUCCCUGGUUUUAAUAUCUUUCUUACAGCUUACCUUACUUGUGAGUCCACUUUGGCUUUUCAUAGGGAUGUUUGAAUAAUUUGGCUUAUUAGCAAGUUAAUAACCAUUGGCAAUGAAUUUACCGUGGGGAAUGGCCUGCCUCAUCAUGAGGGACAGCAUGGUUGAAAUAACACGGGUGUUGUCACCUGUAUGUCUAUUUUCAUUAUAAUAGAAUAUUGGGGAUGAUCCAAAUCUUUGCUUAUGUUGGUUUUUUUUUUUUUUAUCAAUAUAAUCAAUAUUGGGUUCUUGACUGUACUUAGAUUUUGUUGUCUUAAUAUGGUGGCUUUUCUUGAGCUUAUUUUUGUUCUAAUGGCUUUUGACAUAUAAUAGUGAAAAAUCUAAGUCGUCUUUGGUCUUGUCCUUAGCUGGUGUUAAAUAUUGUUAGCUUAUGGUGAAAACUGGCAUUUUCUUUUUUGAGGACUGAAGAAAAUACAGGAUCUGGAAGAGCACUUGCUUUCUUUGGCCUGACAAAAAUACUAAUCCUUGGUUGAUCAAAGAUAAAUUAUAGUAUCCUUUGGUUUUAAAAUUUUAUGUGGCUUAAUCUUAGAAUCAUGUUUGUUUUUGAGGCUGUGAUAGUUUCAGUGGCCAAAAUUGUCUCAGGCAAGAAAUGGUUAGGGAAUUGGUGGGGGUGGGAGUGGAGGCAUUGACAGCAAUAGCUGUGAAAAUUCUUUAUGUGUUUCUGCAGUGAAUUUAGUUCCUGUUUAUCCUGUUUGAAUCCUAUUUUAAUGGGACAUUUAAGCGGAUAAGCAAAGGCAGCAAGCUAGCCCUUUAGCUCACAUCCGGGUCCCUUCCCACCUGUAAUGCCACCAUGAGAAAAUGGCCCAUCACAUGGCAGAAGGUGUUCAUCUUCUCUCACUUUUCACUGCCUCCAGGGGACCUGCUUUCAGCAGCUGGCUCUUCGGGCAAGACUGACAUCAUUUUCUUAGUGGCUGUGUUCAAAACCACCCAAAGGAAGAGGCUUGCAAGGCUGGAUUCAGUCAUCUAGUUUGUGGGUCAGUGUUCUGAGAAGGGGUAUCGUGCCCAAAGUGCCAGCUGUUUAACAGUAAUGCCCCCUGGAUCGUGCCUGGUAUGUAUGUUCCAUUCACUGGUGAUUACCUGGAGAUUUAAAGAAAUUUUUCAAAAUUUCCAUCUUGUCUGGAAAUGUCUGGGGUUGGUAUGGUCUAGUAGUCUUUUCCACUCUAACCUGUGUCCUGAGCUGGGAAGGGCACAGCAGGCUUUUCUCCUACACUUCUGGACAAAAUACUUAUGUUUCAGCUCUGCCCAGCCUCUUCCUAUCCUGCUCCCUGCUUACCUCCAGAAGGCACCAGUGUUAGGAAGAUUGUAUGUUAGAAGGCAUUUUUUUGUUCUCUGAAGCCUCUUUCUCUAGGAAGUUGUAAUUAUUGUUACCUGGUGUCAGAUUCUGUUUUCUCUUAGGAACUGGUGAGCCAAAGGAUGUUGGGGCUGGAACAGAGGAGGCAGGAGAAGAGGAAAGCAGGGUGACUUUGCCUGGUGGAGCCGGCUGCAGAAGGUGUGUGUGCAUCCAAGGACUAGACCCCACAUGGCCCAUCACGUACCCAGGGGGCCGGUCACGGUCAUAGACCCCACGUGGCCCAUCAGGUACCCAGGGGGCCGGUCACGGUCAUAGACCCCAUGAGGCCCAUCAGGUACCCAGGGGGCCGGUCACGGUCAUAGACCCCACGUGGCCCAUCACGUACCCAGGGGGCCGGUCACGCUCAUAGACCCCACGUGGCCCAUCACGUACCCAGGGGGCCGGUCACGGUCAUAGACCCCACGUGGCCCAUCACGUACCCAGGGGGCCGGUCACGGUCAUAGACCCCACGAGGCCCAUCAGGUACCCAGGGGGCCGGUCACGGUCAUAGACCCCACGAGGCCCAUCAGGUACCCAGGGGGCCGGUCACGCUCAUAGACCCCACGUGGCCCAUCACGUACCCAGGGGGCCGGUCACGCUCAUAGACCCCACGUGGCCCAUCAGGUACCCAGGGGGCCGGUCACGGUCAUAGACCCCACGUGGCCCAUCACGUACCCAGGGGGCCGGUCACGGUCAUAGACCCCACGAGGCCCAUCAGGUACCCAGGGGGCCGGUCACGCUCAUAGACCCCACGUGGCCCAUCAGGUACCCAGGGGGCCGGUCACGGUCAUAGACCCCACGAGGCCCAUCAGGUACCCAGGGGGCCGGUCACGCUCAUAGACCCCACGUGGCCCAUCACGUACCCAGGGGGCCGGUCACGGUCAUAGACCCCACGAGGCCCAUCAGGUACCCAGGGGGCCAGUCACUGCUGUGCUUGGACUUUGUGCAGUCGCUCUGCUUGUUCUUGGAGCAAGCUGAUUCAAAGAUUCUAAGAAACAAACUUAAAAUUAUGACAACGUGGAGAUUUCCAUCUGAAUUUUAAAAGACCCAGAUAAGAGAUAACCACAGAAGUGUUGGCUCUUUGUGGGUCUUCUGCCUCUCCCAGGUGCUUUGCUGAGCUGCUGUGUUUGUUGUGUUUACAUGUGCCAAGCGGAGGCCUUUCCUCCCAAGGACCCCGGCUUUGGCUUCACCACGCACACAGCAUGGUGGAGUGUGAGGAGGGAGCAUUUGAUGAUGUCUCUCAUAAUAUCUGAUAAAAGAAGUCGCUGUUUCAUGAAGGAAACCACCCUCGUUUAACAGUAAAAUGUGUUCUCUUGUCCC